rnacentral:rRNA from 1 species
AGUGAACGCUGGCGGUAGGCCUAACACAUGCAAGUCGAACGGCAGCACAGUAAGAGCUUGCUCUUACGGGUGGCGAGUGGCGGACGGGUGAGGAAUACAUCGGAAUCUACUUUUUCGUGGGGGAUAACGUAGGGAAACUUACGCUAAUACCUCAUACGACCUACGGGUGAAAGCAGGGGAUCUUCGGACCUUGCGCGAUUGAAUGAGCCGAUGUCGGAUUAGCUAGUUGGCGGGGUAAAGGCCCACCAAGGCGACGAUCCGUAGCUGGUCUGAGAGGAUGAUCAGCCACACUGGAACUGAGACACGGUCCAGACUCCUACGGGAGGCAGCAGUGGGGAAUAGUGGACAAUGGGCGCAAGCCUGAUCCAGCCAUACCGCGUGGGUGAAGAAGGCCUUCGGGUUGUAAAGCCCUUUUGUUGGGAAAGAAAAGCAGCAGGUUAAGACCCCGCUGUUCUGACGGUACCCAAAGAAUAAGCACCGGCUAACUUCGUG